rnacentral:tRNA from 1 species
AGGGGAGUAGCUCAAUUGGCAGAGUGGCGGUCUCCAAAACCGUAGGUCGCAGGUUCGACCCCUGUCUCCCCUGCCA